rnacentral:misc_RNA from 1 species
AUUUUUAAUCAACUACCCAAAAUAAGCAAAUUAGAAGACAGUAAGUUAUUUGAUAUAUUGUGUUUCAUUUAUUAAAAAGCAUUUCUAAUGUUUUGUGCAAUAAUAUUUGUCUUUUUUUUUUUUCCCUUUGUUGUUAGAAGACGUACUUUGUUCUUGUUGUAGUUUUGUAAUGUAAAUAAUAUUCAGAAAAGUUAGAAGUCUGAAAGCUUUUGUUCUUGGCUUUGCAUGAUUCAGAAGAAUGCUAUAUUUUGG